UGUUGGAUUCGGGGCCGUAGCACUGUCUGAGAGGUGUAUAUUUCUCACAGUGAACCGGUCUCUUUUUCAGCUGCU
rnacentral:pre_miRNA from 1 species